rnacentral:misc_RNA from 1 species
UUUAAUCAAUUGCCCAGGAGCUAUAAUUUCCUGGUGAAACAUGGGCCAUUGUGGAAGAUGACAUAUUAUGGGUCUGCGCCUCGUGUGAUCCACCAAUCGAAUUUUGCUGCGACUUCUACUUUUAUAGCCCGUGAGGUUGCAAAAGGACUGAUGAAAUACCAGCCUGAUGUUAUUAUCAGUGUACAUCCACUUAUGCAACA